rnacentral:rRNA from 1 species
UACGAAGGGGGCUAGCGUUGCUCGGAAUCACUGGGCGUAAAGGGUGCGUAGGCGGGUCUUUAAGUCAGGGGUGAAAUCCUGGAGCUCAACUCCAGAACUGCCUUUGAUACUGAAGAUCUUGAGUUCGGGAGAGGUGAGUGGAACUGCGAGUGUAGAGGUGAAAUUCGUAGAUAUUCGCAAGAACACCAGUGGCGAAGGCGGCUCACUGGCCCGACUACUGACGCUGAGGCACGAAAGCGUGGGGAGGCAAACAGGG